GAUGAACGCUGGCGGCGUGCCUAAUACAUGCAAGUCGAGCGAACACACGAGGAGAUUGCUCCUCUGAAGUUAGCGGCGGACGGGUGAGUAGCACGUGGAUAACCUACCUAUAAGACUGGGAUAACUUCGGGAAACCGGAGCCCAUACCGGAUAAUAUAUUGAACCGCAUGGUUCAAUAGUGAAAGACGGGUUUGCUGUCACUUAUAGAUGGAUCCGCGCCGCAUUAGCUAGUUGGUAAGGUAACGGCUUACUAAGGCAACGAUGCGUAGCCGACCUGAGAGGAUGUUCGGCCACACUGGGACUGAGAAACGGCCCAGACACCUGCGGUAGGCAGCAGUAGGGAAGUGUUCACAAUGUGCGAAAGCCUGACCUAGCAACGCCGCGUGAGUGAUGAAGGUCUUCUGAUCGUAAAACUCUUUUCUUGGGGAAGAACAAAGGUGUAAGUAACCAUGCACGUCUUGACGGUACCUUAGCAGAAAGCAACGGCUAACUACGUG
rnacentral:rRNA from 1 species